UAGAUGAUUCUACUGUAUAGAUAAUGAUGCUCUACAAUACUAUAUACAAUACUAAUGCUACUAGAUAUAGAUGAUUCUACUGUAUAGAUAAUGCUGCUCUACAAUACUAAUGCUUCUAGAUAUAGGUGAUUCUACUGUAUAGAUAAUGCUGCUCUACAAUACUAUAUCCAAUACUAAUGCUAAUGCAGACAGAGGGGAGGUCGUCCAUACCCCCAUGUUGACGUCGUACGCGUUCUCCGGGUUCCUGUGGUGGAGAAUACAUGUUAGCAUGAUGUUAGCAGCAGCACGUUACUAGCAGCCUAUGUUAGCAUGAUGGUAGCAUGAUGGUAGCAUGAUGUUAGCAUAUAAGAGAAAACAGGGUCUGCUCACUGUUUUAACGCUCCAGAAGUAGAUUUAUUAAGAAACAGGCAACGUUUCGAUCGCUAGGGAUCUUCAUCAGGCAUCUAUAGGCACCAGCAUGAUGUUAGCACACAUGAUGGUUUGAGCCACAAGUUGUAUUAAGAAAUAUCAACAUUUGUUUAAGCCUUGAAUUAAUAAUGUUUGUCUCCUAUAACCAUCUAUUACUUUCUCUCUCUCUCUCUCUCUCUCUCUCUCUCUCUCUCUCUCUCUCUCUCUCUCUCUCUCUCUCUGUCUCUUUCUCUCUCUAUCU
ensembl:lncRNA